rnacentral:lncRNA from 1 species
GCACAACAUGCGCAUGUCAGUAAGCAAUUAAGAAUGAAAAUUCUCAAAUAUCCAGAUCUCGAAGGUUUGAAAUUAUAGACAUCACUUCAUUCUUCAGGCCAGAAAAAUGAAAGGGCAAGUGAAACAAGACAAAUGGGUGAGAGGAGAUCAAGUGAUUAGCAGAGGAAUGGACUGAAGACUGAGUGGAGAAGAAUGGAGAAUCGACAAAGCCUCCACAGGAUUGC